rnacentral:rRNA from 1 species
AUGAACGCUGGCGGCGUGCCUAAUACAUGCACGUCGAGCGAACGGACGAGAAGCUUGCUUCUCUGAUGUUAGCGGCGGACGGGUGAGUAACACGUGGAUAACCUACCUAUAAGACUAGGAUAACUUCGGGAAACCGGAGCUAAUACCGGAUGAUAUUUUGAACCGCAUGGUUCAAAAGUGAAAGACGGUCUUGCUGUCACUUAUAGAUGGAUCCGCGCUGCAUUAGCUAGUUGGUAAGGUAACGGCUUACCAAGGCAACGAUGCAUAGCCGACCUGAGAGGGUGAUCGGCCACACUGGAACUGAGACACGGUCCAGACUCCUACGGGAGGCAGCAGUAGGGAAUCUUCCGCAAUGGGCGAAAGCCUGACGGAGCAACGCCGCGUGAGUGAUGAAGGUCUUCGGAUCGUAAAACUCUGUUAUUAGGGAAGAACAUAUGUGUAAGUAACUGUGCACAUCUUGACGGUACCUAAUCAGAAAGCCACGGCUAACUACGUG